rnacentral:rRNA from 1 species
CAAGUCGAGGGGCAGCAUGACCUAGCAAUAGGUUGAUGGCGACCGGCGCACGGGUGAGUAACACGUAUCCAACCUGCCGGUUAUUCCGGGAUAGCCUUUCGAAGGAAAGAUUAAUACCGGAUAGUAUAACGAGAAGGCAUCUUCUUGUUAUUAAAGAAUUUCGAUAACCGAUGGGGAUGCGUUCCAUUAGUUUGUUGGCGGGGUAACGGCCCACCAAGACAUCGAUGGAUAGGGGUUCUGAGAGGAAGGUCCCCCACAUUGGAACUGAGACACGGUCCAAACUCCUACGGGAGGCAGCAGUGAGGAAUAUUGGUCAAUGGACGAGAGUCUGAACCAGCCAAGUAGCGUGAAGGAUGACUGCCCUAUGGGUUGUAAACUUCUUUUAUAUGGGAAUAAAGUGAGCCACGUGUGGCUUUUUGUAUGUACCAUACGAAUAAGGAUCGGCUAACUCCGUGCCAGCAGCCGCGGUAAUACGGAGGAUCCGAGCGUUAUCCGGAUUUAUUGGGUUUAAAGGGAGCGUAGGCGGACUAUUAAGUCAGCUGUGAAAGUUUGCGGCUCAACCGUAAAAUUGCAGUUGAUACUGGUCGUCUUGAGUGCAGUAGAGGUAGGCGGAAUUCGUGGUGUAGCGGUGAAAUGCUUAGAUAUCACGAAGAACUCCGAUUGCGAAGGCAGCUUACUGGACU